rnacentral:rRNA from 1 species
AACGCGAAGAACCUUACCAAGGUUUGACAUGCAGGGAAAAGCCGUAGAGAUACGGUGUCCGUAAGGGUCCUGCACAGGUGGUGCAUGGCUGUCGUCAGCUCGUGUCGUGAGAUGUUGGGUUAAGUCCCGCAACGAGCGCAACCCUCGUCCUAUGUUGCCAGCGGGUAAUGCCGGGGACUCAUAGGAGACUGCCGGGGUCAACUCGGAGGAAGGUGGGGAUGACGUCAAGUCCUCAUGCCCCUUAUGUCUUGGGCUGCAAACAUGCUACAAUGGCCAGUACAAAGGGUUGCGAGACCGCAAGGUGGAGCGAAUCCCAAAAAGCUGGUCUCAGUUCGGAUUGGGGUCUGCAACUCGACCCCAUGAAGUCGGAGUCGCUAGUAAUCGCGAAUCAGCAACGUCGCGGUGAAUACGUUCCCGGGCCUUGUA